rnacentral:rRNA from 1 species
GACGAACGCUGGCGGCGUGCUUAACACAUGCAAGUCGAACGCUGAAGCUCAGCUUUUGUUGGGUGGAUGAGUGGCGAACGGGUGAGUAACACGUGAGUAACCUGCCCCCUUCUUUGGGAUAAUGCCCGGAAACGGGUGCUAAUACUGGAUAUUCACUGGUCUUCGCAUGGGGGUUGGUGGAAAGGGUUUUUCUGGUGGGGAAUGGGCUCGCGGCCUAUCAGCUUGUUGGUGGGGUGAUGGCCUACCAAGGCUUUGACGGGUAGCCGGCCUGAGAGGGUGACCGGUCACAUUGGGACUGAGAUACGGCCCAGACUCCUACGGGAGGCAGCAGUGGGGAAUAUUGCACAAUGGGCGCAAGCCUGAUGCAGCGACGCCGCGUGAGGGAUGGAGGCCUUCGGGUUGUGAACCUCUUUCGCUCAUGGUCAAGCCGCAACAAUGGUUGUGGUGAGGGUAGUGGGUAAAGAAGCGCCGGCUAACUACGUG